rnacentral:piRNA from 1 species
UAGCAGGAACUGUCCACCACAGUGGUGAC